rnacentral:lncRNA from 1 species
UCAGGACCAAAACAUCUAUUUCCUGAAGAGUUGCUCCUUUAAUUGUGUAUCUACCUACCUGUCUAUGUAACUCUCGGCAAAUAUAUUGGAGACUUCUCAACUUUCUGCUUCUGAUGAUCUCAACUUGUGGUAUGGCAAAAGGAGAGCAAAAUGUUCACCCAGAUGACAUCGUGAUCAACUCCUCUGAAUCACUCUAAAGGAACGAGAAGUCCUGGCAGCUGAGUCAUGAUCCCCCAGGAGCCAUUAAGAAGUUCAUCUUCAGUCACUUCCAUCCAAACAGAAGAAAACCCAUGAAGCAUGAGAACUAUGGGUCCUGAGAAUGACAGGUAUUGAAGACAGGAUUUAUCUUCUCUACUUCUUCUUUUAGAAGCAGAUCAAGAAACUGGCGAUUGAAGAGUAACUGAAAGAAACGCAAUCUGAUCUUACUAGCAGUGAAAGAGCGAGGUAAGAAUUUGACUAG